rnacentral:rRNA from 1 species
GACGAACGCUGGCGGCGUGCUUAACACAUGCAAGUCGAACGCUGAAGCUCAGCUUUUGUUGGGUGGAUGAGUGGCGAACGGGUGAGUAACACGUGAGUAACCUGCCCCCUUCUUUGGGAUAACGCCCGGAAACGGGUGCUAAUACUGGAUAUUCACUGGUCUUCGCAUGGGGGUUGGUGGAAAGGGUUUUUCUGGUGGGGGAUGGGCUCGCGGCCUAUCAGCUUGUUGGUGGGGUGAUGGCCUACCAAGGCUUUGACGGGUAGCCGGCCUGAGAGGGUGACCGGUCACAUUGGGACUGAGAUACGGCCCAGACUCCUACGGAGGCAGCAGUGGGGAAUAUUGCACAAUGGGCGCAAGCCUGAUGCAGCUACGCCGCGUGAGGGAUGGAGGCCUUCGGGUUGUGAACCUCUUUCGCUCAUGGUCAAGCCGCAACAAUGGUUGUGGUGAGGGUAGUGGGUAAAGAAGCGCCGGCUAACUACGUG